GACCAGGGCCAGAUGGAGGAAAGGGGAGAAAACAACACUGACUUUUUGUGAGGGAGAAGGAUUUGGAGGGUAAAUUUAAAAACAUUGGCAGAUCUAUAAAUACAUUUUGAUUGAUUUCCAAAUGAUAAAAAUGACAUUUUCUAGUUUUGAAGUGCGAAGGCUAUAAGAAACUGGAGAGACGUGGUCUUCUACGAUGAAUGUCAAAGACCAUGCUGUAAAUGCAAUAAAAUGAAAUAAUUCCCCUGCUAUAAAAGCAUUACUAAUAUGAAACUGUGUUUUUAAGACUAUGUACCCUCUCUGGGAUCAUUUAGUCCAGAUUUGACCAGUCUAGGUAUAUGGUUUUGGAUCUGGACCUGGUCUAAUGUGGUCUACAUAAGAAAAACAGUACCAUUUCCCUUUAUUGUAUUUUCACAAAUAGAACAUGGCUUUUAGAAAUAUGAAACAGUGUCUUUAAGACUCUUUAGCCUCUCUAGGAUAAUUGAGUCCAGAUUUGACAAGUCCAGGUACAGUGGUUUUGGAUCUGGACCUGGUCUAAUGUGGUCUACAUA